rnacentral:lncRNA from 1 species
AACAGAGAGAGCCUUGUUUAAACUCCAUCAAGAGUUGUGGGCACUUGGGAAGCCAUUUCUGAGAGCUGCUGCUUUGGCAUCCUCCACUAAGGCCCAACGAAGCUCCUGAGGGGGGCUAAACAACCAGUUAUCCAAUAACUUGUUUUCCCUGCAAAGUUUUGCAACUUAAUUUAACUUGAACAUAUACAAGUAGGCAUGCCUAUAUUUGCAAUUAAUAUGCACCAUUUUUUUUGGAACAACAAAAAGAGUAUAUUGUUUUAUCAAUUAAUGAAGGAUUUCAUUAAAAAAGGCCCAUAGAAACUUGAUACACAUACAGCUGAAGCUACAAAGGCUGAGUAUAUGAAUAUAUGUUUGAGAACAAUGAAAACAAUCUGUACAAAAAUCUCAAGCAUAAAGUAAAAAACCCAAGAAGCCGAAAACGAACCCCAAGCCAAUUAAAAAAAAAGCCAAUUAAGAAAAAACUUGAACCUUCCAAAUCCAAGCUAAACAAAAUCCCCAAACCCCUUUCCUCUUUACUUUUUUUCAAGUGGAUUAGUGGUGGACAAAUAAUAAGACACUUAAUAGAAUAUAAAUAUUUUGAUA